CCGGCCACUCCAGGGGACCCCUGUGACCAUGGGACGGCAUAUCUUCAGGGCCAGUGCAAGACCGCACCGGCCCAAGGCAUACGGUUGCAGGGUGUCUGACAGGAGGAGGGUGCACAGCACAGUGCUCCCCCCUGUGCCAUUCACUGCAUGAAGCGUUGCUAAGCGGUUUGCGGGUAGAGGGGCCUCUGUUUUCCUCUACACAGUCUGACAGGAAGUGCUUCCUCGCAGAUUGGAUUGCUUGAUCCUCAAGGCCACGAUACAUGUAUGAGAGCAGGAUGUCGAAGAGACACAUGGAAGGGAGUCUGGGGGGGAAUUGACACAUGGAAG